rnacentral:misc_RNA from 1 species
AAGUCGUAAAAAGGUUUCCGUAGGUGAACCUGCGGAAGGAUCAUUAACACGUAUUAACGUUGGAUACGUAAAAACCCCCUCCUCAUGGCUAGCGAAAUCCUUAGACAAUCAAUAACACUGUCAUUCACGGAUUGCUUGGGGAAAAACAAGCCACCUUACCAAGAGCUCUUAAACUCAUAGUGCUCUGUCAAACAGAGGUCCCUCCUCUUGCAUUUUCUCCGACGAGUGCAGGGAUUGCUGUUUGGCUUUAUCCAAGACUUACGAUCACUUCUAUUGCCGCUCCGCGCCAACAACGCCGGGCAUUCAAAAACGUUUACACAACUGUUAACAAUGGAUAUCUUGGUUCUC